rnacentral:lncRNA from 1 species
GGCUUACCGCCUUCGCGCGACACAGCAGCGAGAACCCUGAAACCUGACUGCGUUCCUUGUUGCUUCUCUGUCGGUUUCCAGGAGGGCGCACGGGCUGGAGAGCAGCGCCGGGCAGCCACACAGCGGGGGAAGCGAGGGCACCGCAGACCCGCUAUCCAGGCCAGCAGGCACUCCUUGCCUCUCCUACGGCCACGCGGUGCUACCCAACAGAACCACCGCUCUCCCCCCGGGAGCCAGCCCCAAACCAGCACGUUCCCUCCCUGCGCACCAGCGCACACGGGCAGGCGGGCAGGCAGACACACACCGCGCUCGGCACUCCUAUUUUCCAGCCCGGAUUCACCGCAGCCGUCCGCAGGGGCGCAGCCCGUAUUUCGCAGCCGCCGCGCGCACAGCGCUGACGACCCGACGAAGUCACGAGCUCCGAGAGAGGAGCCGGGAAGCGGCCAUCUCAGGGCGCCGCCUCAUCCCGGCCGCCCCGGGGCCGCCUCCCCCGGCCCGGCGCCCCGCUCCGCUCCCCGGACCCGCGGCCGCGCGGCGGUCGCCCGUGGCGGGGGCGGCCGGAGGGGUCCGGCGCGGCCGCCCCUCUCUCCCCCCGCACACCUGGAGGAAAGCCGCUCCGCCGCCGCCCCUCCGCCCCCGGGCGCUGCCCCGCACCGCCUCGGCCCCAACAUGGCCCCGGCGCGGCGGGAGCGGACGGCGCGGCCGCCCCGGCGGCUCCGACACUCACCCUCUCGCUCGCGAGCUCGGUGCGGGCCGCCCGGAGGCGGCGGGACCGCGGCCGGCCGAGGCGCUGCGGGAGAAGGAGGCGGCGGCGCGGAGCUCCGGCACCGGGCGCGUCGGUCGGGCAACGUGCGGCAUCAGUCAUCGGCGCGGGGCGGGCCGGCGGCGCGCGGCACUCUGGGGGCUGCAGUCCGCCGGCGCUUCCGGCCCCGCGGCGGGCGGCGGACUGCGGCUGCCACGGAGCGGCUCCGCUCGGGCUCCGCCGGGAUGAGCGCCGCGCGGCCGCGGUUCCGGGCAGCUCUGUCGGAGCUCGUUCCCGUGCGGGGCUCCGGCCGCGGCUCCUGCGCUGCUCCGCCGCGCUGGUCCGUCCGGCACCCUGUGAGCGGGGCCCGCCGCUGGGGGGAGGCACGCGUGGUGACGGGCGUCGCUCCCCUGGAGCCGCGCGGCUGCCCGCUCCCAUCCCGUCUCUGCCCCGGCUGCUGCCGUGCGGGGUGGGCGCGGCCCUUCCGCGUGGGACUGCGGGGUGAAGCGCGGUGA